UGGGGAAUAUUGCACAAUGGAGGGAACUCUGAUGCAGCGACGCCGCGUGAACGAAGAAGGCUUUCGAGUCGUAAAGUUCUUUUAUAUGGGAAGAUAAUGACGGUACCAUAAGAAAAAGCCCCGGCUAACUACGUGCCAGCAGCCGCGGUAAUACGUAGGGGGCUAGCGUUGUCCGGAAUCACUGGGCGUAAAGGGUUCGCAGGCGGAAAUGCAAGUCAGGUGUAAAAGGCAGUAGCUUAACCAUUGUAGGCUUUGGAAACUGUUUAACUUGAGUGCAGAAGGGGAGAGUGGAAUUCCAUGUGUAGCGGUGAAAUGCGUAGAUAUAUGGAGGAACACCGGUGGCGAAAGCGGCUCUCUGGUCUGUAACUGACGCUGAGGCUCGAAAGCGUGGGGAGCGAACAGG
rnacentral:rRNA from 1 species